rnacentral:rRNA from 1 species
AUGUCUCGCCACCACCACCACGACCCGGCCCCGCCGGCCUGCUGCUCCUGCUGCGCCUGCGGCUGCUCCCCGCCGCCCCCCGCCCCGGCGCCGUGCGGCGGCGGCUAUUACUACCCCGCGCCGCCUCCCCAGCCGGCGCCCGGGUCGGACCAGCUCCUCCACGCCAUCGCCGCGCAUCUCCUGCUCAGCUCCGCGCCCCCGCCGCCCCAGCCCCACCCGCAGCCACCGCCGAAUCCCGCCGCGCACCACGCGAAUCUCUACGCCUCCUACGCUUACCAGCAGCACCACCAGCAGGGAUCCGCACCUCACGCCUAUCCCCAGUCGCCCGCGGCCGCCCCUGCGCCGCCGCCGCAGCAGCAUCACCACCAGCAGCCGAACCCGCCCGACCACGGCCAGCUGCUGCUCCACUCGCUCCUCCGCCGCGUGACCGCGCUCGAGACAACCCUGCCGCAUGUCCUCCCCUCCGCCCCGGCUCCGCAUCCCCAUCAGCCUAACCCUCGCCGGCACCACCGCGCGCACGCGCACCAGGAGGACCCGCGCUCGCCCUCGCCCCCGCCCCCGCCGCGUCGCGCGCGCCGGGGGCCGCAGCCGCCGACCGAGAGGGAGCUCGCGGCGCGCACCAUCCAGGAGCACUUCCGCCGCUUCCUGGCGCGGCGCUCCCGCACGCUGCGCCAGCUCAAGGAGCUCGCGAUGCUCCGCUCCAAGGCCGCGUCCCUCCGGGCGUCCCUCUCCGGCUCCGGCCGCCGCCGGUGCAAGGACCCGAUGGCCGUCUCCGAGGCCGCCCUGGGCAUGCUCUACCGCCUCGACGGGAUCCAGGGAGGGGACCCGAUGAUCCGGGAGGGGAAGCACGCCGUGAGCCGGGAGCUCGGCCGGAUUCUGGAGUUCGUUGACAAGGUGCUCCUCAAAGAGCAGGAGGAGAUGGGCGUGGAUGGCGCAUUCGAUGAUUAUCCUGAAGGUUGUCAUGGGAUGAAUCGCCCAACUGUGAACAGGAAGGUAAGUUUUCGCGGUAAUGAGGCCACUAACGAGGCUGAUGAGAGCUCUGAGAGCUCGAGUUCUGCCGAUGCUGAUGAGACGAAGGCCGCAAACAGCAAGAAGAGUACCAAUGGCAAGCCUGGGCUUGCAGCCCCAGUGCCUGUACACAUGGAGUCAAGGAGAACUGGAGGGGAAAUGUGA